GUGCUCGUUUCGGCAGCACAUAUACCAAAAUUGGAACAAUACAGAGAAGAUUAGCUUGGCCCCAGCACAAGGGUGAUACACAAAUUCGUGAAUCGUUCCAUUUUUUU
ensembl:snRNA U6 U6 spliceosomal RNA